rnacentral:rRNA from 1 species
UACGGGGGGGGCAAGCGUUGUUCGGAAUUACUGGGCGUAAAGGGCUCGUAGGCGGCCAACUAAGUCGGACGUGAAAUCCCUCGGCUUAACCGGGGAACUGCGUCCGAUACUGGAUGGCUUGAGUUUGGGAGAGGGAUGCGGAAUUCCAGGUGUAGCGGUGAAAUGCGUAGAUAUCUGGAGGAACACCGGUGGCGAAGGCGGCAUCCUGGACCAACACUGACGCUGAUGAGCGAAAGCCAGGGAGCAAAGCGGG